ACUCCACACCCUCAUCUUCCAGCAGUGAGGGUAGACUAUUAAGGCUCUCAUGUCAUCAAGGAUCAAGGCAAUGGAUUAAUGGAGACUCUAGACAUUUGUUUCCUCACCAGUGAAAAUUAAAUGAAGACCCAGGAAUCACUACAGCUAUGGGGAUGAGAAGGACAUUUCAGCAGCUAGAGUGUGGUGAAAUAUGGCAGGCACACAGGCCUGAGACUGGAGUAUGGCUUCCUACUUCUUCCUCCGCAAAUUAAAGACAGCGAGCCCCAGGGUGCUAAUCCAACUGAGCUGCCACUCCAACUACAAUUAGCGAAGCUGAACAAGAAAGGAGAGAUGGAAAACCUGCCCCUAAAUGAGGCAUUAUUUACUCAGGAGAAAAAAGUAUAGGAAACUAAAGAAAAUACUGAAGAUAAUCUCAAAUGGUGACAAUCUUUUUCAAUCUCAUCUACACUUCAAUUUUGGAAUAGUCUAUAAUAUUUGAGAAUUAACAGAAAUAUUGCAAGAUAAAAGCUAGCAACUGUUAUGUAAAAGUAUCCAUUUUCCAUGGAUUCCCGCUAAAAGACUAACAGUUACUAAAU
rnacentral:sRNA from 1 species